UGCGGCUGGAUCCCCUCCUUUCUAAGGAUGGUCUCUUACGAGAAGGCAUUCGCCUUUUCUAUCGGACCUCUUCAGAACAACAGAGCUCAGUCAGAGCUCACGAUGCGGGACGUCGCCGUCUUCGUUUCUCUUUCUUCUCCGGAUACAUCGAUCAAAGGUCGCGCGAGUGUAACAGCUCCGGGUGGCUUGGGAUGUCAGUUCGGGCCUGUAGCUCAGGUGGUUAGAGCGCACCCCUGAUAAGGGUGAGGUCGGACGUUCGAGUCGUCCCAGGCCCACCAUUAUCGUUUGGGGCCUUAGCUCAGCUGGGAGAGCGGUAGCUUUGCAAGCUUCAGGUCGUCGGUUCGAUCCCGACAGGCUCCACCAUUAUCCUUCGAUCGUGUUGAACGUAUCCGGUGUCAUUGAGGUUCGUGUUCUCCCCGUCUGGGGUGAGGGCGCGGAUGUUUGAAAUCGUAAAGAGGCGGCAUAUUCGGCAAGCGGACGUCCUAGUUCCGCGCACCAGCCACGGCCCGCAGCCGUGCGCGCCGGAUAUGCCUGGCAAGCAAAAAUAUGACUUCGCAGAGAUGCGAGGUCAGGUCUUUCUUGGAUCGUGUCCGGCUUUAGCCGAGCGGGCAUCGAUCAUGAGAGUAAUCAAGUGUCGUAAGAGCAUCUGGUGGAUGCCUUGGCGCUGAGAGGCGAUGAAGGACGUGGUACGCUGCGAUAUGCUUUGGGGAGCUGCGAACGAGCUUUGAUCCAAAGAUCUCCGAAUGGGAAACCCGGAAG
rnacentral:misc_RNA from 1 species